rnacentral:rRNA from 1 species
UACGGAGGGUGCAAGCGUUAUCCGGAUUUACUGGGUUUAAAGGGUGUGUAGGCGGGCUUUUAAGUCAGUGGUGAAAUCUCCGGGCUCAACCUGGAAACUGCCAUUGAUACUAUUAGUCUUGAAUUUUGUUGAGGUGGGCAGAAUAUGUCAUGUAGCGGUGAAAUGCAUAGAUAUGACAUAGAAUACCAAUUGCGAAGGCAGCUCGCUAAACAAACAUUGACGCUGAGGCACGAAAGCGUGGGGAUCAAACAGGA